AUUGAACGCUGGCGGCGUGCCUAACACAUGCAAGUCGAGCGGCAGCGCGGGGCAACCUGGCGGCGAGCGGCGGACGGGUGAGUAACGCUUGAGAAUCUGCCUAUUAGUGGGGGACAACCCGGGGAAACUCGGGCUAAUACCGCAUACGCACUACGGUGGAAAGCCGGGGACCGCAAGGCCUGGCGCUAAUAGAUGAGCUCAAGUCGGAUUAGCUAGUUGGUAGGGUAACGGCCUACCAAGGCGACAAUCCGUAGCUGGUCUGAGAGGACGACCAGCCACACCGGAACUGAGACACGGUCCGGACUCCUACGGGAGGCAGCAGUGGGGAAUAUUGGACAAUGGGCGAAAGCCCGAUCCAGCGACGCCGCGUGGGUGAAGAAGGCCUGCGGGUUGUAAAGCCCUUUCGGUGGGGAAGAAAUGCUUCGAGCUAAUACCUCGGGGCUUUGACGUAACCCACAGAAGAAGCACCGGCUAACUCUGUGCCAGCAGCCGCGGUAAAAC
rnacentral:rRNA from 1 species